rnacentral:rRNA from 1 species
UACAGAGGUGGCAAGCGUUGUCCGGAUUUAUUGGGCGUAAAGGGAACGCGGGCGGUCUUUUAAGUCUGAUGUGAAAGCCUUCGGCUUAACUGAAGUCAUGCAUUGGAAACUGGAGGACUUGAGUGCAGAAGAGGAGAGUGGAACUCCAUGUGUAGCGGUGAAAUGCGUAGAUAUAUGGAAGAACACCAGUGGCGAAAGCGGCUCUCUGGUCUGUAACUGACGCUGAGGUUCGAAAGCGUGGGUAGCAAAC